UGAAAUUCUUACAUUUCUGUCCCACAGUUCAAGGACAUUCUGUGGAAUGAAGGAAGUUAAAGAAGUCGUAGUGGUGUGUGAUCCAUCGUACGAAAAUGUAUUUGAAGGUACAAGAGAUUGGAGGCCUCGCCGCCUUCACCAAUGACGUUAAGUUGUUAUUCGAGGAGAACAGAGCUCUUGACGAAGCCAACGAGAGGCUGUUGUGCUUACUGGAGAAGGAGCAGAAACAUUAGUCCGAAAGGAAGCACUCUGCCAGCAAUUCCACCAAGCAGAAGCGCAAGUCAUUGAGCCUGAAGGACACGAGCCUGGUCGACCUGGCCAUUGAUUUCAACAACAGGCAGCCGAUGUCUCCCUUGCAGCCAAACUCCCCAGACUGCAGGGUGCACAAGAAGUGAACCCAACCGGCCGUCCUAACAUUCUCUUCUGGAUAGCUUCAACUGAAGUGAACUGAACAAUCCACCCUUCUGCAUCUGGGCUGCUUGCCUCAUCUGAAUAACUUGCUGGGUUAAUUUGGUUGGUUCUUGUCGGUAGAACCUCGGUCAUGUAGCCUGCAUUUUCCAUUUUCCUCUUCCUGUUGGUAGCUACCUGUGUCUAUCAUGAUCCUUUCAUGAAAAAAAUUAGGAGUGUUAUCUUGGUUACGCCACACAUCCAUCUCCUUUCCCCCCUGCAAUCUAGUGUAGUUUAAAAUAUCCAUUUCUUUGUCUGCUCUUGUGAGAUCUUCCCAUUGGGAAACUUGGCUAGCUGCCCAUAUCAGUUGAUGAACUCUACUAUACUAUUCAGUUUGGCUGAUUUUGUUACAUACAUACAUGGCUUUGUUUUGGUCUGGCAACUCAACUGUGAUGCCAUUGUUGCUGCUCUGUAAAACUUCUGUAUGUGUAGAGCAUGCAUCCUAAUUGUCAAUCUCAAGUCUGCACUUAUGUAUGUUUUUCAUGUGAAACACUUAUGCAUGACUAAUUGUUUAGUUGAUACAAUUUCUUUUGUAGACAAGCAUGAAAUAUGUAUUAACUUUCCUGAAAAUUGAGCUCUUCUUAACUAAUCAAGAACUCCCCUCAUUAUGUGAAACACCUAUGCAUAUGACUAAUUCUGCACGGCAAUUCUGUUCAAUUCUGAUUUCUUUGCUAUUCAAUUCUGUUCAAUUAUGAAACACCUAUGCAUAUGACAGUGAAAGCAUGUCUACAUUAGUACAACUUUGCAUGCAUAUUUUAUUGACUAGAUAUAUAUGUGUUGAUUGUUUGUCUGUUCCCAUGUACUGCAUAUUGUGUAAUGGAGUUUGCUUGUAUGAUGUUUGUGAAAAUGUUUGUAUUAAAAUAAUUAACAUUGGUGACAACUUACAUGGCCAUUAGAAAUGCGGAAGUGUACAGCGGCCGCGGCCGCACAUGCCCUGCUUCUCCUGGUCUCUAUGUACCUUGCCUGCAUACUGUCUGUUUGUGAUUUGUUCUAGCAAGUAUCUCCCCAGGAUUCACUGGACCAACAACUACUUGUUCUAGCAUGUUUAUUUCAAGCAAUUUGUGAUUCAUGCUGUUUGAUGAACCAGUACCCAUGUCGGUAGACUAGUAGAAUUUGCAAACUUCAGUUUUCUCACCAGUAGUCACUUAUCAUGCUGUUCAUAUCCAUACAACAUUUGUAUUGGUUCUAUGUUACAACUGCUACGAACAAUUUAUUAAUGUGGGAUGUGGCUCUAUGUCCAAUUCUGUUUCUUCUCUAAGGAAAUCCCCUCUGCCUCUAGUGUGCAACAAGUUGAUUGUUAUGUCUCUAUUAUUGUGUAGAUUGGCCAAGUGUUCAUCGAUCUCCAAGCCAGUUUAAGAGCUGGAUUGGCUGGUCCAAUUCAACACGGAUCUGAGUAUAUGUUGAAACUUUUCGUCCAUCAAGCGCCGCCUCUGGCUGCCCCUACGAAGCCCUUGCCUUCGCCAACCUCCACUCCUCCAUGAGGUGAUUUGUUUCUUGGAAUUUGGAAGAGGAAGACGAUGAAGCGUGGUGGUUAUCUAUCAAUAUGCCUUGUGUUCUGGUUGUACUUCAUAGCUAGUUACAUUGUAUUCUGUAUUGGUUUGGUUGUAUGAACACUAUGUAAAGAUUGUAAUAGGCUAAUUUUGGCUAUCAUUUCAAGUAUAUAGUUCUGUUUCAUUUGAAAUAUUGAUCAUUGGUGUACUGUGAAGAUGUGAGAAAUAGAAAGUUGAUGAGUUGGACCUA